CCUACGGGCGGCAGCAGUGGGGAAUUUUGCGCAAUGCUCGUAAGAGUGACGCAGCGACGCCGCGUGAAUGACGAAGGCCUUCGGGUCGUACAGUUCUUUCGACAGGGAAGAAAAUGCCUCUAAGUAACUGUGUCUGUAUUGACGGUACCUUUAUAAGCAGCCCCGGCUAACUCCGUGCCAACAGCCGCGGUAAUACGGAGGGGGCGAGCGUUGUUCGGAGUGACUGGGCGUAAAGAGCACGUGGGCGGUGUUGUAAGUCAUUAGUCAAAGACUAGAGCUUAACUUUAGUAAGGCUAGUGAUACUAUAAUACUAGAGUAGCAGAGAGGAUUGCAGAAUUCCUGGUGUAGCGGUGAAAUGCGUAGAUAUCAGGAGGAAUACCGUUAGCGAAGGAGGCAAUCUGGCUGGAAACUGACGCUGAGGCUCGAAAGUGUGGGUAUCAAACAGGAUUAGAUACCCGAGUAGUC
rnacentral:rRNA from 1 species